UGUAAUUUUCAUCAUCCUGGUCUUAUAAUGAAGGUUACAAGGGAAUCAUGAGAACCCCCAUCAACCUUAUUUUCCCUUAUUUUCCCGCCACUAGCAGUAGCCAUUGCUGCCAUUUUUCUCUCCUUCAUUUCCUCUCUCAUUUCUCCAUCUUCUCCCAAAAUUUCCAUUACCCACCUAAAUACAUUUCCACCAACGAUCUCUCAAUUUUCAAAAUAGGGUUUCAUGGGUUUUUGUGUGAGAAAAUGAAGAUUGAAGGAGAAAGGUUUAAUAAGGUAAGAAAAGGCUUCCUACACCUUUAGUUUGAUUUUUGUUAUGGGUUGCUUUGAGAAAGCAUGGAAAUAUUAUAUGUUAAUAUUUUGAUUAUUUUUUAUGUACGGAAAAUGUUGAAUGAUGAGAAUGAGGUUUCCAAGCUUGAUUAAUGAUGGAUUGGAGCUUAUGGAGACAUACUUAAGUGUUGUAGAGCGUCCAUUAAGAGAAAGAGAAGAAAAGUGAGCAACAAGUUGAAGAUAAAAAGCAAAGAAGUGACAAAAGAGUGAAGGAAGAAUGAAGAAACCCAUCCAAGAAUUAAAUAGCAAGUACUUCAAAAUUUUACUUUACCUAAUUAAAAUCUAAAUGAAAAUUUGUUUAUUUAGUUUGUAACAUUUAUGGGAUUUAUUGAUAUAAGAAAAUAUUUGUGUA